rnacentral:rRNA from 1 species
AGCAGCCGCGGUAAUUCCAGCUCCAAUAGCGUAUAUUAGAGUUGUUGCAGUUAAAAAGCUCGUAGUUGAAUUUCGGGAUCAGACUGUCGGUCGUGCCUCGGUACGCACUGGCAUUAUUGGUUCCUACCUUCUGAAGAACCGCGAUGUCAUUAAUUUGGUGUCGCGGGGAAUCAGGACUGUUACUUUGAAAAAAUUAGAGUGUUUAAAGCAGGCUUACGCUUGAAUACAUUAGCAUGGAAUAAUGAAAUAGGACGUUUGAUUCUAUUUUGUUGGUUUCUAGGAUCGACGUAAUGAUUAAUAGGGAUAGUUGGGGGCAUUAGUAUUCAAUUGUCAGAGGUGAAAUUCUUGGAUUUAUUGAAGACUAACUACUGCGAAAGCAUUUGCCAAGGAUGUUUUCAUUAAUCAAGAACGAAAGUUAGGGGAUCGAAGACGAUCAGAUACCGUCGUAGUCUUAACCAUAAACUAUGCCGACUAGGGAUCGGAUGAUGUUAAUUUUUAAUUAGUACUCAUUCGGCGUCCG